rnacentral:tRNA from 1 species
GCCCCGGUAGCUCAGCCUGGUGGAGCGCUCGCUUGGUAAGCGAGAGGUCGCGGGUUCAAAUCCCGCCCGGGGCU